AUUAUAGUAAAGUUCUGAGGACCCUAUAAAAAAUAAAGGCGGAAGGAGCUAUUAUUUACUGAAAAAACUGCCUGAAGGUCGCAGGGUUGAAGGCAACAUUUGAAGGAAAUACUUUUCUAUACUGGGUUCGAAAUAUCUUUACUAUAAUUGCUUUACAAGUCAGUCACCCUGUUUUAUAUAAGUUUAUUUAGGCAAUAUAUUAAAUCAAACUACAAGGUUGCGGUGACCGGUUACUCAGUGAUCAAAUUAACUACGAGUAUGAAAAUUAUUAACUAGUAAUAGUAUGCGCAAUGAUAUCUGAGCAAGAUUCGUUAGGUCCACUAUGAGCGUUCAGAGUUGGCUAGCAACUAAAUAUGAAUCCCAGCUUUCAUUGAGCUUUUUGCAUACGAGACACAUAAAAUUGGAGGCAUUAUAUCUAAUUAGUGAUUGAUCGGGAAUAGGAAAAUUAUGUGCAUUAGUUUUGUUAUUCUUUUUAUGCGACAAAUUUGUGUGGGCAUGACUGAUGAUAUCACACCUAUUUUUGUGUAUACUGCCCUCUGCAGGGAAGUUGACACUUUGAGCCCAGUUUGUCAAUCCGGAAGCGUAAAGUUUGACUGUGAAGUUGAUAUUACAUAACUGGUGACCUGGGGGAGAACAGAAUCAUUGCACAACACCUUGCUUGUAUUUGCUUUGCAAUGUCAAAUUUAAGUUCUACGUUACUAGGUCCAGGGUAGCCGUUGCUUUGGUGAUCCAGGGUAGAAUUUUACCAUCUGCAUUUCCAAGGACAGAGGCUACAAAAGCGGAAGUGGUAAUACAACAUAACCAAGAAGGUUAUACUUCAACUGCAACUUUCACAUAUUCAGCAAUGCCUGUAAACAACCUCAUAAUACUGGUGGAGUACUCAAAGAAGCAGGUCAAAGAAGAAGCAUGAAAUCUCACCAGCCAAUAUAAAAGGAUCAACAAUUGCUAAAAGUGUUGUUGUAUUGUCAUCAAUUAUAUAUAUACUUUGAAGAUUUUAAGAAUAAAAUACCUAUCAGGAAGUAAUCAAUUUAUACAGUUAUAAAGUAUCAAAGUUGCAGUCCAAUGACAUUUUUAGGAAACACAGACAAGAUGCAUAAAAUAGUUUACAUCUUGAUUGUUUUGAUUUCCUGUACAUUUGCAGAUGUUACAUUUGUUACCAGGCCACCAGGAGAGGUGAGGACAUUCCCAGGACGGCAGGUUACAUUGCCCUGUGCAGUGGAAAACUUUAAUGAAAACCACAGAGUCCGUUGGCUUCAGAUUGAAAACAGUGGAAUAAACCAUAUUUCA